CUGAAAGUUAGAAAACUAGUACCAGAGGCCUAUUGGCCCUCUUUCCAUUAUUAGGGGAGGGAAGUCAACAACAGGAUGAGGAAACUUGCACAUAUACUGACAUCUGAAUUACUCUCUGGAGCCACCUGCCUUUACCUUUUUUUCAUAGAACGCAGGAAAAAAUGAAGAUGCUUUUAAUGGAUACACUUAGAUAUCUCAUGUUAAAUUAGAUGAAUCUUGCUCUCAAAAGACAAUUGCAAGAAAAGACAAUAUCUCUCUCCCUUAUGCUGUUGAUUUGCAUAUGGAAAAACACUACAUAUAUGCUCUAUACCUAAACUUCUCCAUUCUCCCUCAUGCAAAACUAGUUUAACUUCUUUCUUGUUUGGCUGAUCCAUUCAGGAUGCAUCUGGUACUACAUAUGGGCCAAGGGACAUACCAGCAGUGUCAAGGCUGCAGCAGGUGACAGCAUCCUGGCCUGAGGAGAAGGCAACUUAAUGGGAUGUGAGAAGCCACUGGACAUGGCAAUAGUUGGAAUUGCUGGAUGUGACAAAUAACAAUGUGGGAAACUGCCAAAGGACACAGAUAGUGCUGUGAAAGAUGGCUGGAUUUUACAGAUGACUAAGGGCAAGUUAUGUAAGAAAUGGCUGGAUUUCACAGAUAGUUGGAGGGGAAUAUCUACAGAAUCAUACCAGAAAUAACACACAAAGCCAUGAAUGCCUAGGAAAUGGUAUCAGAAAUACCAAAUUUGACUAUAAAUGUAGCAAAACUGAGAUCAGCGUGGCAGAACUAAUUAUGAUUAUUUAGUUGUGAGAGGACAGAAGUGACAAAAACAAGGAUAGGAGUAAAGAGAGAAGUCAAAAAGCAGGAACAGAUAAGCAAAGUCACGUACAUGGUGCAAUCAAGUCUUCAUGAAUGUCCCUCUCCAGCCUCCCUGGGCUUUCUCUCCACAGCCUGAAGCAGAACAAUAAACCAAACUUGUUCUGACCCCACCACAAGUGUUGAACCCUCCUCCGCAGUCAGGAGGACCAGGGGCAGGAGAACUGCCUUAUCUUGCUAGCAGAGAAACACCUGGGAUGAAUGGAUUAUUUAACACAGCAUAAUUGUUCUGGUGCAUACUCCAGGAGAAAUGGCUUCAAUGUCCUCCUAACAUCCUUGCAGAAUGCACAAAUCUUUGCAGCUUAGAUGGUCAGAAUCUCUCUUUUUUCUUAAGUUUUUCUUUAGGACCAUACUUCUAGCAUGUCAGUUGUCUCCCACAUUUUAUUUUUUACUACUCACAAUCGCUAAACUGCAGAAAGAUCCUAGCAGGGAGAUGUGAAGAUAGCUGAGAGAUAUUGCUUGGGUUCUGACUUCAGUGAGAGAAAGCUCAGUGCCUCAGGGAGUUAUGCAUGAAGAGCUGUUCCUGCCAGGCAGGAAGGCAGCUGGGGCUUAGGGUGUGAGUGUUUGAGGUCAGCAGUUCAUUAGAUAUUUUUCUGCACACUUGAAAAUCAGAUACCGCAGUCUCUUGUUUGAAAGGUAAGUGCCUAACUGAGCAGGGCCCUCGUGUUACAUGGAGGAAAUAGCACCACCUGAAGUUAGGCAGCUGUCUUGAAAGGAAUUAAUUUGGAUGCUCUGACCUUCUCAGCCUCAAGGAACUGAAACCUUCACCCUGCAACUCCUUCAGGAGAAUAGGAAGCACCACGCACAUGCUGAAUGCCUUGAAGGAAAGUGAGGUAGUCUGUAAGCAUCCUACUUUAGUAAGUAUGGAGUGAUUCCCUCUGGCAGUAUCACAAUCACAGGAAUCCCUGCAUCUCACUGGAGCAUAUUACGCUAAGAAAUCCCUCAUUUUGGAUGAUUUACCAACUCAGGAUCUCAAAGGCAAUAACUUCAAGCUGUCUUAAGAAGCAAUGAAAUCCAGUGGACAGUGGAGCAGGAUGUCUAUGAAGAGCAUGAGCCUCA